GCCGGUCGGUGGAUUUUCAUAAUAAGUAACAACUUAAAAAGUUUUAAAAACCAAUAUUAUGAGUUCCGCAACUCGGCCGUCAUACCGCCAGACGAAAUUACUUGUAGAAAGUUAGUAACCCUGGAAUGGCCAGGGGUCUUCUUAAGACCGACCAAGGGAAGUUAAAAUUAUGAAAAAAAUAACAUCAAUGGCCUCGACCUUAAAUGCGCUCGGAGGGUCUUAAAAAGAUGGACUCCGCCGAUAUGCCUAAAACUGAGGCAUUCCAUGGUAUAUGGCAGGAUCAUAACAUACUUAAUGUCGAGGUGCAGCAUCCUGAACCCAUCAUACCCAGGCCUGAACUAUCAAGCCGCUCAGCUCAUCCUGCUCCCACCUCACAGCGUAGAUCCAGCCGCCGCAACCAAGUUGAUGUAGAAGUAGACAGAGUGAUGGCCAUAGAGGAAAAGCAGGUAGAGGCCUAACUGCUGACAGCAUGGGCUAAUGCCCUAAAGCCUAAAGGGGACCUAGCAGAAGCUGUCCGUGAUGGAGUCAAUAUCCUCAUACAAAUUGUGCAAUAGUUAUCAAGAAAUAACAAAGUUAAGUCCAUUUAGUCCCAUAACCAGCGUUACUAGUUAUGGGUAUAGAUGCUGUUGUGCAGUAGUAGAUGAUGUGAUGAUUUAAGUAGAUUUUAUAUUAUUUUUCCUGUGACUAAAAAUAUUAUUUUAUAUUAAUACUUAUCCUAUGUCGAAGUAUAUGAACAUUUUUCUUUUAAGAAAUGUUAAAUAAUAUUAUAAAAAGUGUUCCUAUGUUAAUAUGUUCCUUAUAUUAUUAAGUUUGCAAGUAUUUCAACAGUGGUGGUGAAAUUAUUAUUCUACAAAAGUAUGUCUGUAUGAUUAUUAUAAAGAUAAAGAAUUCUGAAACUU